rnacentral:lncRNA from 10 species
CCCAGGAGCGAGCCCAUGGUCUUCCGACGCGGGGCCAGGGGCGGGCCCCAGGAUCCGGAGCUUCGGGGGGGCCGAGUCCGGGUUUGGGGCCCGGGAGGCGGGGCCAGUUAGGUCGAGGGUCCCUGGGAUCGUCGGGUCAGGCCUUGGGCUAACGUAGGCACUCUCGCAGUUCCUCCGCCUUCAGGAAGGUCUUUUUAGCAGGGGCCUUACGGGUGCAUGCUUCGGUCCUGGAGGACUUAGGCUAGCCUCCUCUCCAUCAGCGCCACCCGUCUGGGGCCCGAAAGGAGGGAGCUUUCCCUCUGUCCCCCAGCCUUUGGACUGUCACCAAACAAGCCAUUCGUUCACCAAAUACUUUUUAAGCGCCUACCAUGUGCCUGACAAGGGAUAUGUAACGGUGAGAAAAACUAGGUGUGGUCCAGGCCCUUCAGGGACUCAGGGGCUCGUGGAAGAAGUGGAUAUUGAAGUACUUAUCACACAAAGGAGGAUAAAAGUACGAUAGCGAUAUCUACCACGAAGCUGUUGUUCCACACCAGAACCAAAUGAGCGCAAGAUCUGACAAAAAAAAAAGGUUCAUCUUUUAUUCUUCCAAACACUUUCAUUUAAAUCAAGAGGAUGGGAUGUGGUUAUUACUGUGUUUUUAGACAAAAUCAAUGGUUUCUGGCUCUGAGAUGUUGCAUACACCCUCUCAGUCCCUGUAUCCUGAGAUGGAGUCACCUGAGAAUCCACAGCAAGUCCUAACCAGGGAUGGGUCUGGGUGAUUAAGGAAGAUUGGCUUCAGAACUGGGCCAGGGGCACUGCUUUGCUUUUGCUGUUUUGAUCAGCUCUCUGCCUGCAGGAGACGAGGAAAACCAAUGGGAACAGAAACUCCUAGAGGGCAGAGGCAUGCCUGCCAUCUUCAUCAUUGCAUUACCAUCACCCAACACUAUCAGGGGACCUGCCCUGAUAAUCAGUCUACAGUUGUAUCCAGCAGCUCCAGAGAGACAGCGACCAGCAAGAAGGGGCCAUGAUGAUGGUGGUGGUUUUUUCAAAACGAAAAGGGGGAUAUGUAGGGAAAAGAAAGAGAGAUCAGACUCUUACAGACUCUUACUGUGUCUACAUAGAAAGGGAAGACAUAAGAGACUCCAUUUGGAAAAAGACCUGUACUUUAAACAAUUGCUUUGCUGAGAUGUUGUUAAUCUGUAGCUUUGCCCCAGCCACUUUGCCCCAACCACUUUGACCCAGUCUGGAGCUCACAAAAACAUGUGUUGUAUGAAAUCAAGGUUUAAGGCAUGUAGGGCUGUGCAGGAUGUGCCUUGUUAACCAAAUGUUUGCAAGCAGUAUACUUGGUAAAAGUCAUCACCAUUCUCUUGUCUCAAUAAACCAGGGGCACAAUGCACUGUGGAAAGCCGCAGGGACCUCUGCCCUUGAAAGCUGGGUAUUAUUCAAAGUUUCCCCCCAUGUGAUAGUCUGAAAUAUGGCCUCGUGGGAUGAGAAAGGCCUGACGGUCCCCUAGCCCGACACCCAUAAAAGGUCUGUGCUGAGGUGGAUUAGUCAAAGAGGAAAGACUCUUGCAUUUGAGAUAGAGGAAGGCCACUGUCUCCUGCCUGCCCCUGGGAACUGAAUGUCUCGGUAUAAAACACGAUUGUACAUUUGUUCAAUUCUGAGAUGGGAGAAAAACCGCCCUAUGGUGGGAGGUGAGACAUGUUUACAGCAAUACUGCCUUGAUAUUCUUUACUCCACUGAGAUGUUUGGGUGGAGAGAAACAUAAAUCUGGCUUACAUGCACGUUCAGUCAUAGUACCUUCCCUUGAACUUCAUUAUGACAUAGAUUCUAUUGCUCACAUGUUUGUUGCUGACCUUCUUAUUAUCACCCUGCCCUCCUACUACAUUCCUUUUUGCUGAAAUAAUAAAGAUAGUAUUCAAUAAAAACUGAGGGAACUCAGAGACCGGUGCCAGUGCAGGUCCUUGGUAUGCUAAGCGCCGGUACCCUGGGCCCACUGUUGUUUCUCUAUACUUUGUUUCUGUGUCUGAUUUCUUUUCUGUCUCUCAUCCCACCCAACAAGAAAUACCCACAGGUGUGGAGGGGCAGGCCACCCCUUCAGUAUGAG